AGUACCAUUAGCGCUGUUAGCAUUAGCGCUGCUAGCAUUAACGCGGAUAGCAUUAGUUUGUUUCUGGUUAAUUUGUUACAACACCCUAUACAUCCCGUGUAAAGUAUUUUUGACAUUUUCUCUCAUGACAUCAUGUCGUAUUUCGUGUGACAUAACGUCACCCAGACGGCUCCAGUGUGUCGGCUGCCUCUGGAAGCCUGAUGUGAAUGCUGAACUCAUCACAAACUACACACUGCAAGUCAACCUAACUGGGUUGAAGAGUGAGGAGUGUCACUCCGCCCAGACCCUUCUCCAUGCCCGUGGGCUCUCUGAACCGGCCAUAUUUCAUUCAAGUCUUCGCUCACAGGAAUCAGCAGGAAACGGCCAGUUCAGAUGCUAUCUGAAUGAUAUAAAUGCAGCAGUGCAGCGACCACACCUACCUAGCUCUGGAUGUCUCCAGAAAGAGAAAGGCCGAGAUGCAUGAGGCUGCACUGGUCUGCUCCAAAGAACUUUCCCUUAACCAAUCGGAAUAUCCGGAAUGGCUACCUGCUUUAUGAACUGCAGUACACCACACCAGAUCAGCCAGCACCGCGUACCCUGGCCGUGGCUCUGCGAGAGGAAGUGCAGUGUGUGUUCUCGCCUUGCACUUGGUACACGGCGAGGAUGCGCCUCCGCUACGUUCACGCCCUGAGCUACUGGAGUGGAUGGAGCCUUAGCGGCACACGGCGCACGUCUGCAGGGGGCGCGGCCGUGACCGGGGCCGCCACUAUGCCUCAGCAAGCCCACGCCCGUCUCUCCUCAGCAAUCAUCAUCGUCAUCAUCUUCAUCAUUUCACUUUUUAUAGAACCUUUCACAAACCCAAAGAUGCUUACAUUAGUAUGGGGAGCGGAAUGUGAAAAAAAAAGAAUUUCUGAUGUGCGGGAUGGGGGGGGGGGAAAUAGUUAAUGUUCUUAACUCUGGUGGUGUCAUGGCUUUGAUGUGUGUGUGUGUGUGUGUGUGUGUCCGUGUCCUACAGCACCCUCCUCCAUCCCACAGCUGUGGCGAACUGUUCACAUGCCAGAUCUCAAGGGAUUAAGGCCCGUGACAUGGACUAUGGAAGGUGAUCUACCUGACCUUUCCAUGGUCUCGCUGGCUGAGUCACGGAAAAAGCAGCAGGCCGGCUUGAUUUCACGUGUUCAGGCAAUUAUGAGGGCAGCACAUUAUGGUGUGUGUCAGUCUCAUCUUAAAAUGGAUUUAACUCAUUUUUCCCCCAUCUACAUACACACAAUACUCAUCAAUGACAAAACAAAAACAAGGUUUUGGAACAUUUUGUAAACGUGUAAAAAAAGAAACAAAUAUAUUUAUAUAAGGUAUUCAUCCCUUUCACUUGGUACUUGGUUAAAGCACUUUGGGCAGAAAUGUGCGGUCUACCGUUCUGUUAGAAUUUUUUUUUCAAGUUCUUUGCAGAAUCGUUCGAGCUCAGCCAGAUUAGAUGAGGAGAGUAGGUGUACAGACACGUUCAGCUCUCUUCAGAACCGCUCCACUGGGUUCAGGUCCAAACUGGAACUCCAGGACUCAGCACAAUUUCUUGGCAAUAUGGUUUGGGUCAUUUGUUGAAAUAUAAACCUAUGUGCCAACCAGAGAUCUUGGGCACUCAGGAAAUGGUUUUCACCCGAGAUUGCUUUAUAUUUUUCUGCAUCUGUUUUUCCGUCUAUGCUGAGUAGUCUCCCAGUCCCUAUCCCAAAAAACCAGCUACGCUGCAUAACCCUGCACCCACCGUGUCUGACUGUAGGUUUCGUAUUAAUGGUUUUAGUUUUCACUCUGGUAUACGUCAUCAUCUGUGAGACCUCGUAUGCACAGGUGUGGGUUAUUCAUAGUUAUGUCCAAUUAAUUUAGGCACCGGUGGACUGCAAUGAAGUUGUUGAGCAUUUUAAGUACUUUUGAUAUAUGUGGGAUGUUUCAGUGUUUUAUUUGUAAUACACUUACAGAACAUUACGCAAAACAAUCUUCAAUUGAUCACUGUAGAAUAUUGUGUAUAGAUUGAUGAGAAAAUUAGCUGAGUCCAUUUUAAGAUGAGGCUGAAACAUACCAAAUUGUGGAAAACUUGAAAGAGUCUGAAAACACCCCUGUGAACCCUCUAGGAAUCACUGCCAUUCUCAGAUUCCAAGGUACCACAAGUAAUUUGAUAGUGGGCUAUUCAGUGGUUCUUUGAUCCAGCACGGUGCGCAAUUGUUUUUACUUCUGUUCUGAUUAGGAUAACAGCAAGAUGAAUUCUGAAGUGUACAGAAACAUCUUAAAUGCACUAAAGCAACUAUGGAGUUUUUAAAUUGCCAAAAAGUGGAAUAUAGGUGACUGGCCAAGUUAGUCAACAACCUGCAGCUUUUCACUUACUGAAGACAAGACUGAAAGAAAAGAUCCUCUAGAACAAACAGGAUCCAAACACAGCUGCAUUACAGGCCAGCAGGAGCCUUACUAGUGAAGAUACCAAACAAGUUUAUCAGUUACAGACAUCAUGUAUCAAUUGAAAAGGAUUUGUAACAAAGUACUACAGUGACAGUUUUCAUGAAGGUUGUGAAUUUAAAAAAAAAAAAAAAAAGGUGAUUUGUCCAAUUACUUCUGCUCCCAUGAAAUGGAUGGACCAUGCAUAAAAGAGGUUUUUAUUUCAGUAUGGUUCACCCUGUAUAGAUGUAUAUGUGUAUACAGAUGCAUAUAGAUUCCCUCCAAGUUAAACCUAACAUUGUGUUCUUAAUUCUAUUAGUCAUCGUGGUGUUACAAAUCCAGUGUGAUGAAGUGCAGACAAAACAAUAAUAAAUACUGCAUCACAGUCCAAAUACUUGUGGACCAUACUGUAUGUUACUAUAAUUAAUGUGUCGGCUGAAGAGGGCAAUACUCAAAGCAUACUGUGCCAAGUAACGUAUUUUCAUGUAUCUUGAGUUUAGUUUUCUGAAUUCAAGAGACAAACCAAAAUUCAAAUCAAAACUACCCAAACCCAUUUUCAUCAGACCAUUACAAGUCUUUGUAAAUGUAUCAAACAAACAUUUUUAAACUGAAAAUCCACUUUUGUGUCUCAGGCACCAGC